rnacentral:rRNA from 1 species
CAUAUAAAUAAGCGGAGGAAGAGAAACCAACUGGGAUUCCCUGAGUAACGGCGAGCGAAAAGGGAAGAGUCCAGCGCCGAAUCCCCCGCUCGUGAGGGCGGUGGGAAAUGUGGCGUUUGGGAGUGAGCGUUCCGGGUGCCUGACCGUGCAGCAAGUCCCCCUGACCGGGGCUGUUACCCAAAGUGGGUGCGAGGCCCAUAGCUGCUGCGUCUGUCCCGGAUGCGAUCUCCUCGGAGUCGGGUUGCUUGGGAGUGCAACCCUAAUCGGGUGGUAAACUCCACCUAAGACUAAAUACGACCGUGAGACCGAUAGCAAACAAGUAC